rnacentral:tRNA from 1 species
GUCUCUAUGGCUCAGUCGGUAGAGCGUUGGUCUCAUAUUCGUUAUAUGACCCUGCCCUAAGGUCGGGAUAUCCAAAGGUCGCAAGUUCGAGCCUUGCUAGGGACA